rnacentral:lncRNA from 1 species
AUUUAUUUGGUUGGCCUCUUCCACAGAUGCUAUUUAUCUGCCGGGGUCUGGCACAAAAUAAGCCCUCAAAAGAUAUAUAUAUGCAUUUGCUGUUUCUUAGAAGUUGGGAGAAAAACCAGAGCACAGUGAGUACAGUAAGCUUUCUUUACACAUUUAAUGCUCAGUGGUUUUGGGAUUGAGUUGAGUAAUUUUUGUUUUUGUUUUUUUUCCCUAAGCUAUGGUUGUUGCUGUCAAGGACCCUGCAAUUUUCUUAAACUUUUCAAAGUAUUGGAAGAAAAAAAAAAAAAAGAAAGGUAUUAAUGCAUUUAUUUUCUGUUCUAGAUUUGGCUAAGGGCAAUAUGUCCUAACUCUUGGGGUUUAUUCUGUUUCUAUUAAUAAAUUGUCAAUAGGGUCC